AUUCCAGCUCCAAUAGCGUAUAUUAAAGUUGUUGCAGUUAAAACGCUCGUAGUCGGAUUUCGGGGCGGGCCGACCGGUCUGCCGAUGGGUAUGCACUGGCCGGCGCGUCCUUCCACCCGGAGACCGCGCCUACUCUUAACUGAGCGGGCGCGGGAGACGGGUCUUUUACUUUGAAAAAAUCAGAGUGUUUCAAGCAGGCAGUCGCUCUUGCAUGGAUUAGCAUGGGAUAAUGAAAUAGGACUCUGGUGCUAUUUUGUUGGUUUUCGGGACUCGACAUAAUGAUAGAUAGGGACAGUCGGGGGCAUUUGUAUUCAAACGACAGAGGUGAAAUUCUUGGACCGUUUGAAGACAAACUACUGCGAAAGCAUUUGCCAAGAAUGUUUUCAUUA
rnacentral:rRNA from 1 species